UCCCCCCACAUAUAGUAAACGUGGUGUGGCCAUAUAGAGCUGUGGGGGUCUCUCACCCCAAUACCGUGAGGUGGUGUACCAGACAAACGUGAUAAGUGCACCGGCUUGGAAGUACGCCGCAAGGCUAAAACUCAAAGAAAUGACGGGGCCCGCACAAGCGGGAGGAGCAUGUGGCUUAAUUCGAUGCAACGCGAAGAACCUUACCCGGGUUUGACAUGCAGCUGCACGUCCCAUGAAAGUGGGAUUCCUUCGAGGGUGCUGCACAGGUGCUGCAUGGCUGUCGUCAGUUCGUGCCGUGAGGUGUUUGGUUAAGUCCAGCAACGAACGCAACCCCUGUGGCUAUUUAACAGCGGCUCGGCCGGUUACUUUAGCCAGACUGCCUGUUUACACAGGAGGAAGGUGGGGACGACGUCAAGUCAGUAUGGCCGUUACAUCCGGGGCUGCACACGUGAUAAAAAUGGCCGGUACAAAGGGACAAAGGGCCGCGAGGCGGAGCAAAUCCCCAGAGCCGGCCCCAGUUCAGAUUGCAGUCUGCAACCCGACUGCAUGAAAUAGGAUUCGCUAGUAACGGCGCAUCAGCUACGGCGCCGUGAAUACGUUCCCGGGCCUUGUACACACCGCCCGUCACAUCAUGAAAGCCGUCUGCACCCAAAGCCGCUGCGGCAACCGCAAGGAGCCAGGUGUCUAAGGUGUGGGUGGUGAUUGGGAUGAAGUCGUAACA
rnacentral:rRNA from 1 species